GACGAACGCUGGCGGCGUGCUUAAUACAUGCAAGUCGAGCGAGGUCCAUCUGGUGGCAACACCAGUGAAGGCCGAGCGGCGAACGGGUGAGUAACACGUGAGCAACCUGCCCCGAAGUCUGGAAUAACAUCGGGAAACCGGUGCUAAUACCGGAUCGCCCCACCUGACCGCAUGAUCGGGUGAGGAAAGAUUUAUCGCCUCGGGAGGGGCUCGCGGCCUAUCAGCUAGNGGUGGGGUAACGGCCUACCAAGGCGUCGACGGGUAGCUGGUCUGAGAGGACGACCAGCCACACUGGGACUGAGACACGGCCCAGACUCCUACGGGAGGCAGCAGUAGGGAAUCUUGCGCAAUGGGCGAAAGCCUGACGCAGCAACGCCGCGUGGGGAUGGCGGCC
rnacentral:rRNA from 1 species